CGGGUUACUGUGCAGGAAAGUUUAACCAAAAGUUUGCUUGAAGUCUGAAAGCUGCCGAAACGACUCAACCUUGUUACAUUCAUAGGAAAACGGGAAAUAAAGUCAGAACACAAGAGGACAAAGUGCAAUAACUGAGAGUAGAGGAAACUCUGCAAAGAUAAGAAUUUACAUAUUUACGACAUUUUACCGUGGUACAGAUUUUGCAGCUCUACACAAAAUUCAAUUUUUUAUACUCUUAAAAAGAAAAACGGACAAGAAAGAAAAAAAGAUCAAGCAAAACUAAACAAAACAUUUUAAGCCUUGGGUGAUCUCAUUGAACGAGUUCAACUCGACAGUCUCGAGGAGAGAGGGUAGAUCCAAGGAGCUCGUCUGAGUGGCGAUCUUUUUAGCUUUACAACCAACUAAAAAACACAUAAUUUAAGUUUCUUGAGCUUUUUCCUUUGUGCAAGCUGCAGUCAUCAGUACCAUUAGAAUAGAGAUUUUUAAGGUGCCACUGUAAAAAACAAGGUACUGUCAAGAAAAAUCUGAAUAUUGAAACAAGCAUAGAUCUUUCCGAGGAACUGAAAAACGUUCUGAAAAAGGCUGUGGCCUUUGCUGACAAGGCAACAAUUUCCUCGGAACUAAAAAAUUUUUAUUUGGAAAACUAAUAUCAUUUCACGGGCAAUUUGUUGAGACGUUACGCACCACCUUGCGCGAAGAAGACAAGCCAAAGGCAAGUUCAUAAAAUUGUGUCAAUACAUUAAUCAGUGCCACCUUACUGUCUAAUAUGACAAGAGAACACUUGGCAACCAAAACUUACAUCGGUAACAAAAAUUAUUCUGUUUACGUAAAAAAAUAGCUAUUUAUUUACGAACUGAACAUGACUUGCACUGGCUUAGUAACGCUACGUACUUACAUUUGACGUUCUUUACUAUAACGAAACUCCACCAGCAUCCAACGACCACAUACAAUAUGGGAUUAACUUUUAGACUACAUUCCAAACAGCGACCGACAACGGUUUACGAAACCUGACACAUACCGACAGAUUACUUCAGUAAGCACUCUCCUACACCUUGACUUAACACAAGGCUUUGGCUAUUCGGACUCUACAGUAGCGAGCAUAAGUAAUUUACAACGAACUGGGAAAUUAAUCUGACGAAAACAAAUACCUUGAUAUUUUCUCAAGUUUUUACCUUGACGACAACCUCCUAGGACGAAAUAUUGACUUGACUUUUGAAAUCUACUGAUUACGCUGCAAUGUCUGUACCAGAUAUCGUGGGCUCGUCCGUAACCAUCAACUGAAUUCUAGAGUCGACAAUGUACGAUAGUUACUGACCAGUUACUGUCACCGACAUUCGACUGCCACUCACAAAUUUAACCUGUGAUUGUCUUAUAGCUAUUGAUUAAAAAACAAAAUAAAACUCGAAUGAUUUACGUAAAGCUCACUUGUCAACGUUCUCUUGUCGUUUUGUUAGUUUAGUGUAUAAAACCUCUGUCUGGCUCAGAGUAUUCUAAAAUAAAUUUCGUUUAACAGCGUUGAUAUGACGUUAUACAGACCACUCGCAAAUAUUAUGAAGAAGGAAAGAAAACAAUACAAAAAAAAACAAGGAGAAUUUCUAGUUUAAAUUUGACUAUUAAGAAAUAGGUUAAUAUUACUUUGAAACAGAAGAUGACGCAUUCCAAGAUUUAUUUUAUCAUGACUGAAGGAAUUUUUCGAGGAAAAGGAAGCAGGAUUCUUAAUCAGUUCAAGUUAAAAGUUACUCACGAAUUUAGUUUGGGUCUGGAAUUCCCAACGUACUUGAAAACUAGGGGGAUCAAAUUGUCUGUUCGACAAAGCUCCAACUUGACGAUGCUUAAGAAUUAAUGCUUUGUUUGAAAGAAUCUGAUCUAUUGGCACAAUUAAAUUACACAAGUGUUUCCCAUCGAAGUUUGUCUGGAAAGUGCCUGUUUUUGUUCAUUUUAAUUUCAAUUUCACUAAUGGAGUAAAAAUCGAAGACCUGAAUAGAAUUGUUUGAUGUUUUGCGACUUAAUUAUGGUCUGUACAACCCAUUUCAAAGUGUUUUCGUGGAUGGUCACAUUUCGCGUAAAAUGUUUCCUUCAAAACUAUUCUUUAAGGACUUUGAGCGAGUCGUAGGGUUUUAUCAUAUUACUUGCAACUUAGAGAGACAUGUUUCAGCCAAAAGUUAAUGCAACACAGGACUGUAGGUAAAGUUUGAAGAUUGAAAUCGGAACUUCUCGGUGAAGAAUACAAUUUGACUCGACAAAUUCAUUGAUUGUCUGAGUCUUUGACACUGAAAGGAGAAGAAAGCAGUUCAAAAUUAUUUUAACUCCAACACAAAUUUAUUAUUUACAAAUAUGGAUCAGCUCGCGUCAAAUGUCCUGUGAAACUAAACAAAAACCGUAUGGCUGAAAAAUGUCUGUCUUAUAGCAAAAUGGCAAUUGAGCUUUACGCGUAAAAUUUCAAGUCGACAUUUAAAAUUGGCAAAAAAGGAGUUCUAAAACACGCCAAUUUGCAGUGCACUAAAAGAAAGCUUGCCAUUUUUCCCAUUGUAAAAGUAGAGUUUAUCAUCUUGUGCAAAAAAAAAAAACAAAUUCAAAGACUAAUUACUCGGAGAAAAAGUCGUCAAAUCUUAAAAAAAUAAAACGAAGGGCUGUUUCAUAGUUUUUGUGUGAAAAAAUUUUGCACAAGGUGAUGUUCAUAUCUAGUUUGACGGAAAAAUUCAGAGGAAGGCAUUUUGAAUUUUUAUCGAAAAUGUUGUCGGGAAAACUCUGUGAAAAUUGCUCCAAAUUUUCCCGCCAAAAGUCUUAGUACAUAUUUAAACGCAUUUUUCUUGACACGUUUUGGAUUAUUUAACGGAAAAUCACUUAUCUAAUUAAAGAAUAUUAGGAGAGAAUAAAACAAUGAAAUGACAAAAUACUUGUAUUGUUUGACUGAUAUCUUGAGAACGAAAAGGAAGAUUAGAAAAUAAAACACUACACAAUGAGUUAUUGACUUAUUUAAUACCAAAUAAAAAUACAGCGCAUGCAUUUUUACCUAAGUUUUUUGGCGGGAAAAUUUAAAAUUCUGAACAGGGGUUACCUUAGUGAGCAAGAAUCAAAUAAAAAAUUCGACUUUA
rnacentral:lncRNA from 1 species